ACAAUUUGGAUGAACCUUGAAAAUAUUAUGCUAAGUGAACGAACCCAGAUACAAAAGGUGAUGAAAAAGAAGUAGGUAGUGGUGAUGGUUGCAUGACACUGUGAAUGUACUUAAUGCCACUGAAUUGUUCACUUAAAACUGGUUAAAAUGGUGGAUUGUAUAUUAUACAUUUUACCACAAUUUUUAAAAAAUUAAUAAUGUAAUACAUCCAAAAUGACUGAACUGUACACUUUACAGCAUUUCUUUUUUUUUUUUUUUGAGGUACGCGGGCCUCUCACUGUCGUGGCCUCUACCAUUGCAGAGCACAGGCUCCGGACGCACAAGCUCAGCGGCCAUGGCUCACGCGCCCAGCCGCUCCGCUGCAUGUGGGAUAUUCCUGGACCGGGGCACGAACCUGCGUCCCCUGCAUCGGCAGGCAGACUCUCAACCACUGCGCCACCAGGGAAGCCCAAAUUGUACACUUCAAACGACUGAAUUGCAUGGUCUGCGAAUAUCUCAGUGAAGAUGUUUUUAAAAAAAGGAAGUGGUCAUCUUCCACUUUCUGUUGGGACACUUGCUCUUAACCCCAGCCUCCAUACUAGCACAAGACAAAGCACCUUAUGGAGACGUCCACGUGGAGAGGAACCAAAGCUUCUGAUCCUCAGCCCGGCCAACAGCCCCAGCCAACAGCCAGCACCAUCUUGCUGGCCACGUGAGUGAGCCGUCUUGGAAGGAGACCCUCUGGCAGACAGUCAAGUCACCCCAGAGGGAGGAGAGAGAAGCCAUUUUUGCCAAGCCGUGCCCAAAGUGCUGAUCUGGUUUCCAGAGGUUGGAGCCAGCUGCUGGUGCUGGUUCUACGCCGUGUGAUGUGUCUUCUCUCUAAAGGACUGCUCAUCCGUGGCGCAAAGAACCCAUCCUAGAGCCACCCCAGGAACUAGAAAAAACAAAUCUUUUGCCAGAAUUAUGAUGUUCCAAGAGUACGAUGAAACGUGUGCCGUGGAGGCAUUGGUUAGACUUAUGGGCAUUACAGAAGGUUCUGUCUCAGAAAAAUACAGGAACCUGCCUGCUCAAAGAUGUUUUGGAGAUCCAAAAGAAGAGGUGCUGAUUACAUGGCAUAUUGACUUCAUGUAAACCUAUCAAGCUGUAUAAUGCUGAACUAAAACCAAUAAAACACCGGGUUAUUUUAUCACCAAAAUGGGUUGAUCCAGGAACAGAAGAAUUGCAAUUCAGGUCUCACAAUCUAUGAGGAACUACAGGCAAGCCCAGAGAGCAAAGGAAGGGAGUCUGCUUUUAUAAGGAAAAGGGGGGAGUUGGGAGGGGCUAUUCUACAUGAAAGUUCGUUGGAGGAAAGUAGGAGUUCAGGGGUGGCAAUGACUUCUCAUUGGCUGGGCUGUUGCUAAGUGAGGAGAAAUUCUUCCUUUGGUAUAGUAAAGCGGUUGCCCCUCCUGUUUGGGAGUGCAAGGUAGUUUCUUUCCGUGAGGUACACAAUUGGCAUCAAGGAGCAGGGCAUGAGAGCUCCCCCUUCUGGCCUCUUGACUCCAUCUUUUCUUUUGUUUUAUAAAUUUAUUUAUUUAUUUAUUUUUGGCUGCGUUGGGUCUUCGUUGCUGCCCUGGGCUUUCUCUAGUUGUGGCGAGCGGGGGCGCUGCUUUUCGUUGCGGUGCGCGGACUUCUCCUUGCGGCGACGUCUCUUGCUGCAGAGCACGGGCUCUAGGCACGUGGGCUUCAGUAGUUGUGGUACGCGAGCUUAGUAGUUGUGAUGCAUGGGCUUAGUUGCUCCGCGUCACGUGGGAUCUUCCCGGACCAGGGCUCGAACCCAUGUCCCCUGCAUUGCAGGUGGAUUCUUAACCACUGCGCCACCAGGGAAGUCCCUGACUCCAUCUUAAGUGAGGUUUCUGUUUAUUAAUUUUCACAAUACUCGUGAUUAUAUUUUUUCUGUAUGUAUGCUAGUCUUCAAUAAAGUAAUAAAAACAAAUAAAAAUAAGGGUAGUCUGUGGGCCUCUGGUAAGCCUC